rnacentral:rRNA from 1 species
CAAAAGCUCAAAUUUGAAAUCUGGCGGCCUCGUCGUCCGAGUUGUAAUUUGAAGAAGGUAUCUUUGGGUCUGGCGCUUGUCUAUGUUCCUUGGAACAGGACGUCACAGAGGGUGAGAAUCCCGUGCGAUGAGCAGUCCAGAUCCGUGUAAAGUUCCUUCGAAGAGUCGAGUUGUUUGGGAAUGCAGCUCUAAGUGGGUGGUAAAUUCCAUCUAAAGCUAAAUAUUGGCGAGAGACCGAUAGCGAACAAGUACAGUGAUGGAAAGAUGAAAAGAACUUUGAAAAGAGAGUGAAAAAGUACGUGAAAUUGUUGAAAGGGAAGGGCUUGCGAUCAGACUUGGUAUUUUGUAUGUCUUGCUUUCGGGCGGGGCCUCUGCAGUUUACUGGGCCAGCAUCGGUUCGGGUGGCAGGACAAUUGCGGAGAAAUGUGGCACGGCCUCGGCUGU